UACGUAGGUGGCAAGCGUUGUCCGGAUUUACUGGGCGUAAAGAGCGCGCAGGCGGUCGUGCAAGUCGCGUGUGAAAGCCCCCGGCUCAACUGGGGAGGGUCACGCGAUACUGUUCGACUCGAAGGCAGGAGAGGGAAGUGGAAUUCCCGGUGUAGUGGUGAAAUGCGUAGAUAUCGGGAGGAACACCCAGUGGCGAAGGCGACUUCCUGGCCUGUUCUUGACGCUGAGGCGCGAAAGCUAGGGUAGCAAACGGG
rnacentral:rRNA from 1 species